rnacentral:misc_RNA from 1 species
AACGCACAUUGCGCCCGGCAGUAAUCUGCCGGGCAUGCCUGUCCGAGCGUCAUUUCAACCCUCGAACCUCUGUUUCCUCAGGGAAGCUCAGGGUCGGCGUUGGGGCGCUACGGCGAGUCUUCGCGACCCCCGUAGGCCCUGAAAUACAGUGGCGGUCCCGCCGCGGUUGCCUUCUGCGUAGUAAGUCUCUUUUGCAAGCUCGCAUUGGGUCCCGGCGGAGGCCUGCCGUCAAACCACUAUAACUCCAGAUGGUUUGACCUCGGAUCAGGUAGGGUUACCCGCUGAACUUAA